GUCUACGGCCAUACCACCCUGAACGCGCCCGAUCUCGUCUGAUCUCGGAAGCUAAGCAGGGUCGGGCCUGGUUAGUACUUGGAUGGGAGAUAUCUUCCCCUUCUUUAUAAGGCAUUUUGAAGUUU
rnacentral:rRNA from 1 species